GCGAGCAGCUGGAGGGAAAGGGAAGGCCAAGGGGCAGAAACAAAGAAAGAACUCGGCUUCUUCCUCCUGAUCCGGCUCCCUGCCCCACUUUAAGCGAAGGAGUUGGAAGGUAAGCCCACUCUUGCAGCGGUCUCGUGGACAAGCAAGCAAGCAAACUCCAGAGCUCAUCGUUGGUGGAGAGGGGAGCUGGAUUUCCGCACUACCUUGAAAAAGAACAAUUUGCUUGAAAC
rnacentral:lncRNA from 11 species